GGCCAUCGGCGUGGCUCAUCCGAGCGGGCGUGGCCGUCCUCGCCUGCGUUCCGAACAGUUUAGAACCUAAAAGUGCAGAGAUGCUCUUCUAGUUGCUCCCAGUGGCGACAAGCUUUACCCAAGGGGAGGAGCCGUCCACUGGGGAGGCGGCAUGGUCCCCAGGGCUGACCAGAAGGAGCUGCACAAUCUCCUAUGCCACAGAUACGCAAGGAGACCGGUGCUCCUUCCUCGAGUCCAGCUGGGGGAAAUUUCCAGAUUGUGUGGUGCUCUGCAGCAACAGUCCACCCAGAGACUCCUGCCAAGUAAAUGCUGAGUGUCACGAAACUUUCCAAAAUUGCUCUUCUUCCCAAGACUUGAAUAACUCCCCGGGGUGGGGUGGGAGAUGCCGCACCCCAUGCGGACUGGUGCGCAGUUAUUCCUGGGAAAGCUUGGCUCUGUACCAGGGUCUGGCCUCAGCAGGUGAUGGCUGCUCUUCAGCCAGGCGGCAAAUGCUCCCUGGGCACUGCGGGCUUGCACAGCACACCUACGAGAGAGGAGGGACAAGGGGCCAAACUCUUUAUGCAGGUGAAAAUUUCCACUGCUUGAGGUGUGUACCCCUGGGCUCCACCAAGAAUGCAAGGCCAUUUGCCAAAAACACCAAUGGAGUCUAUUUGAAGAACGCUCAGAGUUUACAAAGGACAGGAUGGGAAGGGAGCAGGGGGUCGUUGAAGGUGACAGCAGAGGAGAUGGAGCGCUGGGGUAGGAACAGGGCGGGCUGA
rnacentral:lncRNA from 1 species